GAUGAACGCUGGCGGCGUGCUUAACACAUGCAAGUCGAGCGAGAAGUUUUGAAAAGAUUCUUCGGAUGAAAUUUAAAAUGGAAAGCGGCGGACGGGUGAGUAACGCGUAGGCAACCUGCCCCAUACAAAGGGAUAGCAUUUGGAAACGAAUAUUAAUACCUUAUGAAACUUAACUAGUGCAUGCUAGGUAGGUCAAAGAUUUAUCGGGAUGGGAUGGGCCUGCGGCUGAUUAGCUAGUUGGUGAGGUAACGGCUCACCAAGGCGACGAUCAGUAGCCGACCUGAGAGGGUGAACGGCCACAUUGGAACUGAGACACGGUCCAAACUCCUACGGGAGGCAGCAGUGGGGAAUAUUGCACAAUGGGGGAAACCCUGAUGCAGCAACGCCGCGUGAACGAUGAAGGCCUUUGGGUCGUAAAGUUCUGUUCUAGGUGAUGAAAACUGACAGUAACCUAGGAGAAAGCCCCGGCUAACUCCGUG
rnacentral:rRNA from 1 species